GACGAACGCUGGCGGCGUGCCUAAUACAUGCAAGUCGUGCGGACCUUUUAAAAGCUUGCUUUUAAAAGGUUAGCGGCGGACGGGUGAGUAACACGUGGGCAACCUGCCUGUAAGACUGGGAUAACGCCGGGAAACCGGGGCUAAUACCAGAUCGUUUUUUCCUCCGCAUGGAGGGAAAAGGAAAGGCGGCUUCGGCUGCCACUUACAGAUGGGCCCGCGGCGCAUUAGCUAGUUGGCGGGGUAACGGCCCACCAAGGCAACGAUGCGUAGCCGACCUGAGAGGGUGAUCGGCCACAUUGGGACUGAGACACGGCCCAAACUCCUACGGGAGGCAGCAGUAGGGAAUCUUCCGCAAUGGACGAAAGUCUGACGGAGCAACGCCGCGUGAGUGAAGAAGGCCUUCGGGUCGUAAAACUCUGUUGCCGGGGAAGAACAAGUGCCGUUCGAACAGGGCGGCGCCUUGACGGUACCCGGCCAGAAAGCCACGGCUAACUACGUG
rnacentral:rRNA from 1 species